rnacentral:rRNA from 1 species
CCUACGGGUGACAGCAGUGAGGAAUAUUGGUCAAUGGGCGGGAGCCUGAACCAGCCAAGCCGCGUGAGGGAAGAAGGUACAGCGUAUCGUAAACCUCUUUUGUCAGGGAACAAAGGCGGGGACUAGUCCCCGGAUGAGGGUACCUGAAGAAAAAGCAUCGGCUAACUCCGUGCCAGCAGCCGCGGUAAUACGGAGGAUGCGAGCGUUAUCCGGAUUUAUUGGGUUUAAGGGGUGCGAAGGCGGCCGUUCAAGUCAGCGGUAACAGCCCGGGGCUCAACCCCGGCGAGCAGUCGAAACUGGCGUGCUGGAGUUGGCGAGAAGUACGCGGAAUGCGCGGUGUAGCGGUGAAAUGCUUAGAUAUCGCGCAGAACCCCGAUUGCGAAGGCAGCGUACCGGCUCCACACUGACGCUGAGGCACGAAAGCGUGGGUAUCGAACAGGAUUAGAUACCCGGGUAGUC